rnacentral:tRNA from 1 species
GCGUCGGUGAUUAAAUGGCGUAAUGCUCGCCAGCUAAGCAAGAGGUCUAGGUUCGAUUCUCAGUCGACGCA